rnacentral:lncRNA from 1 species
GUCUGGGGCCUACUAAGGUCUGAGAACCUGUUACAGUCAGCAGCAGCACUUGGAAGAUUGGACCCGACAAGACACUACUCUCAGAAAAGCCGUGUCAGCAUCUGAGUGUUUUCAUUUUCCCACAGGAGCAAGGGAUAAGAGGAGGGAGGAAGGCAGAGAAAUCCAACUGAAUGGGUGGGGCAGAGAGAAUUCCCAGAGUCAGGCCAAGCUUCAUCCUGGUUCAGCUCUCCCAUUGCUUUCACAACUAAAGAACCAGAGCAAAGCCUAGCACCUCUCUCUCUAGGCAGUGCUGAGCUCCAGUGGGAUGCUGUUACUAUUGUUACAGUCACUGAAUGCUGUUACUAUUGUUACAGUUACUGUGCAACUGCUAAGAUUGUGGUUGAUGCACAUCUAACAGGAUCCCUUUAGCUUCCCCCAGCUGAAGCAGCAUCUCAGUUGAUGCUCCUCACUGAACUCUCGCCAUGGCUUGUUUUGUUGGGCCCAAGAUGCAUUUUUGUUUUAAAUAUUUUUUUCAUGAAAAAUUCAGCUUGUAGUCUAAUAUGAUUGAAGCUCAGCCUGAGUUUGUUUUAUAAUGCAUUGAACUGGAAAGUCUAUGAGUGGUGAAUUAUUCAAGAUACGUGGACAAACGAGGGAUCUGGGCUCUCAUGUGAGGAGGGGUGAUCAAAGAAAUAAGCAAAAUUCUGUGUGUCUUGUUAUCUCAUUUUAUUUACCUUUUAAAAACUUCAACCUUCACCUUGGUCAGGUUCUUCACUUCAUUUAUUAAUGAAUGUCCAAUUUGAUCACAGUCCUUUGUACCACAAGGCUCCCAGCAAUAUUUCUGAGCCUUUAUUAUAAAUGUAAUAUGUCACUGGAUUUUUCAAAUAUGAUUCUCCAAUGUUAAUUUGACUAAUUUAUUAAUGAGAGGAUUUUGAUGAUAAUUUAGUGUGCUUGCAUGUAAGAUUGAACUAUAAAUUAUUCUCACUGAAGGUGAUGAUCAGUGGCUGCCCUGAGACUUGGCAGGCACGGUUGGAAUUAACCCUGCAAUCUUGUGCUUCUUGCAAGAACCACGACUUCACACAGCUGCAAACUGGUGUCUGCUCACAGAAACUUUCCAAUCAAAUUCCCCCUCAGCAAGGGCCCUACUUCUGGUGUUCAUAGUAUGUGAAUGUCAUUUGUAUUAAUAUUUCCCCGAAACCUCUUACCAUUUUGUUGUCCAUGUGACACUGUAGAUUCCAAGUUUUUAAGUAUAAAUUGAAACAACAAUCAGACACUGACAUUGGUGGUCAAAAUCACUGCAAGAGACAGAAUAUCUUGCAGAAAGUUUCUAUGAGGAGAAGAGCGUGACUGUAUUUCCAAAUGUUCCUAUGAACAAAGGAGCCUGAGUAUAUUUGUACUAAAAGAAGGAUACGGUCUGGGAGAGAAGGACUGUGCUUGGCGGAGAAGUGAGAGAUGCUCUGCUUUGAGGACAGAAAGUCACAAACAAUAUUUCCAACUGCCACUGGUCUUGUGUCCUUUGUACACAAACAGUGGAACUGGUUGGUUGUUCAAGAGGACAGCGAGACACUGGGGAUCAUUUGAAUGCUUUUGCAGGUCCCAGAGGAUGGAGUGGGAAUAAGAGGAAAGCAGAGGUCAGCCCAAGGAAAAGAAGUCUCUGUCUGUGAGCGGGGGCUGCUUCCCAGAAAAGACAACACCCAGUGACCUACUUAGCAAAUGGAAACACAAACCAGAGAAAUCAGCCAAGGUCAUGGAUACACAGCCUCUCCUGACCAGCUAACUCCAGGUGUUCAGAGCAAGAACAAAAUGUGCUGACAUGAGGGAGUUCCCUUAAACUUCCCUGGGCAACAAAUCACAGACUGUUGAAUUUCUUGCUUUUCUAAGACUUUGUUAAAUAAAUGGCAGCAGCAAGCUGAGGUCCAGUCUAUAUGUGCUUUCCUGGUUUGGAUGAAGGCAACAUCUAAGAACAGCUCUUCCCCGGGUGGAGUCUUCUGACCUAGAUAGGUCUAUUGUUCUGCCAAGACUGCCGGCCACUACUGCUGAGAGGCUGAGAGGCAGAAUCUGUCUUCCUGAGAUAAGCAACAGCCAGGCAACUAAGUGCUGACAACCUGGACCAAGUGCUGACAGGCUGGUGACAAAGCAUCAAGAACCUGGUGUGGCGGGGGAUGGGCCUUCCCCCUUUAUAAGCUCAGACUCUUAGUAAACUAGGGGGGGAGGAGGGUGCGUGGGGGUUGAUCAGAAUUUUGUCUUGGUCUCGUUAUUCCUUCCGCUGUUUCCUCCCAUGCAGCUCCAGCCUCCCAUUCAGGAACCUGAUUCAUGUAGCUGCGGGCGGCUACAAUUCAAGAUAAUGGUCACUAUGCUAACUGUGUGUUUCUGCUUCUGUAAAUAAGCUUGCUUGCUCAAGAUAGCCGAUGACAUCUGUUUGCUAACUGAGCCCCUGCUUACAGGCAGAAUCCUUGCAUGUAGAUAGGAUAUGUGCCACUCCCCACCCCAGAAAGGCUGCAUCUUGAGAAUCCCGACUUUCUGGCGCAAUCCUGGUGCCAAUCUCAAUAAAGCUUCUUCUUUAAAGUUACUCAUGGUCAGAUUGGUGAAUCUCUGAACAACCUGAGACCUGAUGCUUUUUAUCAAAAUUAUAAUCAUUCAAUUUUACCGAUGAAGACCUGGAAACCAGAUGGUAGUGUGAAAGCCUGCUAGCUCAGAGAGG